CUCUCUCUCUCUCUUUAAAUCGUCCGCCGUCGUGCCACCUCCAACGCCGCGUCGCCGAUCCCCUCGCUGCUGCUGCCGUCGGCUUUCUCUCUUGUUGCCGUCGACAGAUCUGGACAUUUUGGAGCUCGAUUUUGCGUCCGCCGCCUCCUCCAACUUCGAAUCUCCGUAGCGCCACCUCCUCCGACGACAGACUGCUCGAUCUCUCUCUCCCUCUACGCUGCAACAGUCGCCGCCAGCUUCCUUCAAUUUCAG
rnacentral:lncRNA from 1 species